GUGCUGGCUUUGGCUGCAUGUAUGCUAAAAUAGGGGCGAUACAGAGAAGGUUUGCAUGGCCCCUGUGCAACGACAACAUACCAAAUCUGUGAUGGAUUGAUGGGCUGA
rfam:Callipepla squamata strain Texas jcf7180005234140, whole genome shotgun sequence.